rnacentral:tRNA from 1 species
ACGGGCAUAGUUCAAUGGCAGAAUAGCGGUCUCCAAAACCGUUGAUGGGAGUUCGAGUCUCUCUGCCCGUGCAA